rnacentral:rRNA from 1 species
AGAGUUUGAUCAUGGCUCAGAACGAACGCUGGCGGCAUGCCUAACACAUGCAAGUCGAACGAAGUCUUCGGACUUAGUGGCGCACGGGUGCGUAACGCGUGGGAAUCUGCCCUUGGGUGCGGAAUAACUUCUCGAAAGGGAUGCUAAUACCGCAUAAUGUCGUAAGACCAAAGAUUUAUCGCCCAAGGAUGAGCCCGCGUAAGAUUAGCUAGUUGGUGGGGUAAAAGCCUACCAAGGCGACGAUCUUUAGCUGGUCUGAGAGGAUGAUCAGCCACACUGGGACUGAGACACGGCCCAGACUCCUACGGGAGGCAGCAGUGGGGAAUAUUGGACAAUGGGCGAAAGCCUGAUCCAGCAAUGCCGCGUGAGUGAUGAAGGCCCUAGGGUUGUAAAGCUCUUUACCAGGGAUGAUAAUGACAGUACCUGGAGAAUAAGCUCCGGCUAACUCCGUG